GACGAACGCUGGCGGCGUGCUUAACACAUGCAAGUCGAACGGAAAGGCCCUGCUUUUGUGGGGUGCUCGAUUGGCGAACGGGUGAGUAACACGUGAGUAACCUGCCCUUGACUUUGGGAUAACUUCAGGAAACUGGGGCUAAUACCGGAUAGGAUCUCCUGCUGCAUGGUGGUGGUUGGAAAGUUUCGGCGGUUGGGGAUGGACUCGCGGCUUAUCAGCUUGUUGGUGGGGUAGUGGCUUACCAAGGCUUUGACGGGUAGCCGGCCUGAGAGGGUGACCGGCCACAUUGGGACUGAGAUACGGCCCAGACUCCUACGGGAGGCAGCAGUGGGGAAUAUUGCACAAUGGGCGGAAGCCUGAUGAAGCAACGCCGCGUGCGGGAUGACGGCCUUCGGGUUGUAAACCGCUUUCGCCUGUGACGAAGCGUGAGUGACGGUAAUGGGUAAAGAAGCACCGGCUAACUACGUG
rnacentral:rRNA from 1 species